rnacentral:rRNA from 1 species
UGCAUGGCUGAAAAGUAUACAGCAGAAAUUGUGCCAUUGAACGCUGAGAAGAUUGGCAGCGCAGCGCACGGUGCCGCGACGUUCACGAUUGAUGGUGCGCAAAUGAAGAUUCAUAUCGAUAUGUUUGAUACACCUGCUAAUGUGCAGCAUUGGGAACAUUUCCACGGAUUCCCGGAUGGUAAGCCAGCAGAAAUCGCCACAGCGGCACAAGAUGCUAAUGGUGACGGUUUCGUUGAUCUGCCAGAAACAGAACCGGUUUCCGGUACAACGAUGGUGCCAUUUGACGCUGAACCGGCCAAGAUGCAUGUGCCAAAUGACAGUUACCCAGUGGCUGAUGCAGAAGGUCACUAUGCUUAUGACAAACUCGUUGAUCUAAAGGAAUUGCAGACAGCGUUUAAAGCCGCUUUUGGCAGUGACGAUUUGCAGCUUGAUAAAAGGGUCAUUUAUAUUCAUGGUGUGCCGGAUACCUUGAAGCUACCGGCUACUGUUCAAGGAACUGUCAUGAACUACGAUGCCCACGUUACUUUACCAAUUGCAGUUGGGAAAAUCAUCAAAGCUUAAACUAAUUAGUUGAAUAAAUAACCUAUAAGUAGUCUUGGAACUUACUGGCAAUACGCCGGCUGUUUCAAGGCUAUUUUUGGGUUUGAGGACCUUAUUUACCUAUAAAUAGAGCUUUUUACAUUAUAUGUACAGAUUAAUACCUAUAAUGUCAAUAAGUAUGCACUGUUAAAAAUAUUUGUUAAAUAACGAACAUUAUCAUUCCUUUGCGCGGGGUCAACUUGUUAAGCUGGUGUUGGAAGAAGAGAGACGCCGGAAACAAUGGAAGGAGGCGCACAGAUGCCUAAGAAGUUGAUCCAUAUCGUCAUGUUGGCGAUGUUGAUGCUGACCCAGGUCGGCAGCGCCGUUGUCCCUGUAGCCGACAACGGUGAGACAAACAUCACCGAACAUGACCGUGCGGCGCCAAAAUCCGAUCCAUCCUCACACCAGAACGAUGCGAGCGGACAAGCGGCAAUUAGCCAAGACACAAUUGAGUCUGACAAGAAACA